AGAAAGACAUGAGGAGAAUGCUGUGUGCGCAGGCUUGCAGUUCUUCCCAGGCUAUUACCAGCCUCUCUUAACCUUUAUGAAAUUUGUCUUUUCUUUCCUAGGACACUACUGCCCCAAGAGUACAGAAUUUGCCACACAGUACCCUUGUCCCCCUGGAACCUACUGUGAAGCUUUAAAUAUCUGGGAUGUCUCCAAGUGCCAGCUGUGUCCUCCUGGAAGGGUCUGUUCCAAGCCAGGCCUAGCAAGACCAGAUGGACUCUGCAUGCCUGGAUGGUUUUGUCCACCCGGAUCCACAUCAAGCAAACCAGUGUUUCCUGGGAGUCACUCUGGUAUUAAGGGGAAUUUUAAAGCUUGAUGAUGGUUAUUAGUGAGGGGUGGUAUUGCAGAGUCACCCAGAGGACCCAGCCAGGAUCAGGAUGGCUUGAACUUUUCCCUUGUUACUCUUCUGAAUUCUGUGCUGUAGUUCUGUUCUUCCUGGUUUGUGUGUGUCUUUGUUUUUUCUGUUUGUUUGUUUGUUUGUUUUUAAGAUAGAGCUCUUCCAGUUUUUAUAUUUCGCCUCAGUCUGUCCUUUGCAUUAGCAGGUGUGGCAAGUGCAGCUUCUGGAUCAGUUGGACUGUGCCAAGCAGGAACCUUUUGUCCCGCUGGUUCAUUUCUUCCUGUUCCCUGCACUCCAGGUAGGAGAGGUGUUACAAGUUUGGAGUUUUAUGUUUUGAUCUGUUUGUUCUGGUGCAUACUCUCACCUCUUUUGCCAGGCUCGUUAAGCAAUCCCAGUCGUGUGCUUUGACUGUAGGAGGUCUGCUGCCUCUUCAGUGAGGGCCUUGUCUCUUCCCCUGCUUCAGGUUUGUACUGUGCAACUGCAGAGCUGGCAGCUCCAUCGGGUCCCUGUGAGGCUGGCUUCUACUGCACGAGGGGCUCCAUGCUCCCCAACCCCAUGGAUGGAGCAGUGGGGAACGUUUGUCCUCGAGGCCACUUCUGUCCUGCAGGGAGUUCUUCUCCAUCUCCGUGCCCCCGAGGCUCCUUUUUGGCCCAUCGGGGUGGUCAGUCAGUCCAGGACUGCCAGGCUUGCUUCCCAGGGUGGUUCUGUUCUCAGCGUGGCCAGAGCUCCCCAGAGGACUGCGUGUGUCCUCUUGGUCACUAUUGCCCCACUGGCAGCCCAGAGCCCACACCUUGUCCCUCUGGAAAAUAUCAGGACCAGACUGGUAAAAGCCAGUGUAAAAUAUGCCCAGCAGGANNNNNNNNNNNNNNNNNNNNNNNNNNNNNNNNNNAGGAAUGUAAGUGAAAUGGAUCCGCUCCUUCAUCUUGAUGCUUUCCUUGGGAAUUAGCGUAUGUGUUUUCCUUUGCCU
rnacentral:lncRNA from 1 species